GAGACAGCAGUCGCCGCGGUAAUACAGAGGGUGCGAGCGUUAAUCGGAUUUACUGGGCGUAAAGCGUGCGUAGGCGGCUAAUUGAGUCGGAUGUGAAAUCCCCGAGCUUAACUUGGGAAUUGCAUUCGAUACUGGUUAGCUAGAGUGUGGGAGAGGAUGGUAGAAUUCCAGGUGUAGCGGUGAAAUGCGUAGAGAUCUGGAGGAAUACCGAUGGCGAAGGCAGCCAUCUGGCCUAACACUGACGCUGAGGUACGAAAGCAUGGGGAGCAAACAGGAUUAGAUACCCCGUAGUCCCUGUCUCUUAUACA
rnacentral:rRNA from 1 species